rnacentral:rRNA from 1 species
GAUGAACGCUGGCGGCGUGCCUAAUACAUGCAAGUCGAGCGAAUGGAUUGAGAGCUUGCUCUUAUGAAGUUAGCGGCGGACGGGUGAGUAACACGUGGGUAACCUGCCCAUAAGACUGGGAUAACUCCGGGAAACCGGGGCUAAUACCGGAUAACAUUUUGAACCGCAUGGUUCGAAAUUGAAAGGCGGCUUCGGCUGUCACUUAUGGAUGGACCCGCGUCGCAUUAGCUAGUUGGUGAGGUAACGGCUCACCAAGGCAACGAUGCGUAGCCGACCUGAGAGGGUGAUCGGCCACACUGGGACUGAGACACGGCCCAGACUCCUACGGAAGGCAGCAGUAGGGAAUCUUCCGCAAUGGACGAAAGUCUGACGGAGCAACGCCGCGUGAGUGAUGAAGGCUCUCGGGUCGUAAAACUCUGUUGUUAGGGAAGAACAAGUGCUAGUUGAAUAAGCUGGCACCUUGACGGUACCUAACCAGAAAGCCACGGCUAACUACGUGCCAGCCGCCGCCGUAA